CAGCAGACGACAACAUAUCUUUGUCCUCCAGUAUCAUCAGCCAAAUUGCUGAUAUGGCUGUUACGGAGAGCCUGUCAAAUAUUGUGAUGGAUGCCGACAUCAACCACUCUGCUAUUAGAGCUUCUAGAACUGUCAAAGAAUUCAAGGAAGCAUUUGGCAUAAGCGGAUAUGACAUCACUGAUGAUGGUCUUCCACCUGUAAGUGAGUAAGAUUAAAAGAAGAAGAAAGUAACCACGUGCAUAUGUGUCUAUGUUUGUUUGUUGUUUUGCUGUUUCGUUUUAAUUGUUUUUCUAUUAUUAUUUUUUUUCUUGUUUUGCUUUGCUUGUUUUUCACAUUAUUAUUUUCGUCUUUCCAUGUUCUGCUCAGGCAUCGAUUUUAUAUCUUUAAAUAUUAUUGUCAUAAACAUGUUUCUGAAUUUUAUUCUUACUAAUAAAGUCCAUUGAAACAUA